rnacentral:snoRNA from 1 species
GAGCUGUGAUGAAAUUGGCUUCAGCGUUGGUUGGGUCCUUCGCAUUCUUCUGAUUAUCAGAUGACAUCGCCUUACUCCUGAGCUC